GGGUGGUGGAGCAGAUUUGGAGGAAAGUUCGAAAGCAAGCACAGGUGGACUUGUUUGUGUCUCGAGAGACCUUACUUUGUCCCCUCUGGUUCUCCCUCUCACAUCCAACUCCUCUCGGGCUGGAUGCUAUGGUACAGACUUAGCCGAGACUGCGUCUGUACGCAUUUCUUUUGAUUGCUUUGCUCCCAGGAGUUCUGGAGAGAGUUCGCCGGGAUGGGGCGUGUCUCCUAAGUUAGUAGCUCCAUACUGGCCUGGCCAGCCAUGGUUUGCCGACCUGAUAGCCUUUCUCAAGACUCUCCAUGGGAGAUUCCCAUCAAAGUGGGAUCUCCUCUCUCAGGCGGGGGACACCAUCUUUCACCCCCAUCCAGAGUUGUGUAAACUGUGGGUGUGGCCCCUGAGGGUCUACAUAGCUUCUGGUCUCUCAACUAAGGUUGUUGAGACCAUACUCCACUCCAGAGCUCCCUCCAUGAGGAAACUGUACUCCUUGAAGUGGGUUGUGUUCAAUCAUCAGCUACUCCCAGUUAACUGUUUGAUUGGUUCAGUUUUGAAAUUCCUGCAGGAAAGAUUCUUCACAGGUUUGAUCCACUCCACCUUUAGAGUGUUCGUGGUGGCCAUAGCUGCUUACCACAUCCCUUUGGGUGGUCAUUCACUGGGGUUGAAACCUGUUGGUACAUGUUUCUUUCAUUGUGCUUGAGGCCAAGAGAAGUAUGGUACUGCUCCAGACUUUCAGGUGCAUCUGUCUUAGUGGUGCUCGCAGUGAUUUCACACUAGACAGGCAGUAUGGUGGCAUGGGCAUACUCGUUCCCAAAUCGUUUUCGAUGCAGCUUAAAUUCCUGAAGGGGAACGUCUCUAGGUUACAUAUCUAACCCUGGUUCCCAGAGGUAAUUAGAAGCUGCAUCGCGUUGCCAUACUUCCUGUAUUCCUGUGAGCGACUUGCCUCAACUUAUCAGAAGCUAAUGUUGCCUGUUUCAGAUGCACUUUUAAGCUCUCUGGUCUCUACAUCACCCUGC
ensembl:lncRNA